rnacentral:rRNA from 1 species
CUAAUGGCUGAACCAGCAACUUGGAGGAAAGUAUAGCAUUAGCUAGUUAUAUUUAGUUAAAUAUAAUUUCGACUAUGUCGUAUAAAAUUCUAGGUAGAUUAUGAUAAUGACAUUUUUUAUCUAUGUGUCUUGACCAAAUCUCGUGCCAGCAGUCGCGGUAAGACGAGAGAGACUAGUGUUAUUCAUCUUUAAUAGGUUUAAAGGGUACCUAGACGGUAUUUCUAGCCAAUAAGGUACAGAUUUACUAGAGUUUAAUAUGUAGGAGGGUAGUAUUUCUGGUGUAGAGAUGAAAUAUUUUGAUACCUUAAAGACUGGUAAAAGCGAAAGCAACCCUAUAUCCAUGUAUAAACUGACGUUGAAAGGACGAAGG